CAGGUAAUAGAAUAAGUAACAUAUAUUAUGCAUAUGAUAAUUCGAUUAAUAAUGGAGAAUGUUGUGAUGAUAUAAAUAAAAGUAGAAUGAAUUCUUUUCGUUCUUGUGUUGAUUAUGACCGUAGAAUAAAAUCUAUUUCUAAAAGUCGAACAUAUACAGAUGAUAAUAUAUCUUCGAAUUGUAGUUAUACCAGUAAUGGCAUUAAAAGUUUUAAUAGUAAUAGUCGUGUAGGUAGUAAUAUCGACAGUAGUAUAAGCAACAAUAUCAGUAAUAAUAGGAGUAUUAAUAACAGUAAUAAUAAGAGCAGUAAUAGCAGUAAUAAUAAAAGCAAUAAUAGCAAUAAUAAUAACAAAAAAAAUAAAAGAGCGUCUUAUAGUAGUUGUAGUAGUGGAAUAACGAAACUUUUUGACUACAAAUCAAACCUAUCAGCAAUAAGUAAUAGUAGUAUUGGUACUAGUAGUAGUGGUAGUGGUAGUGGUAGUGGUAGUAGUAGUAGUAGUAAGAGAAGAGGUGUAUCUCAUGAAAUGUUACAUAAUAAGGACCAAAAUAACAGAAGUGAUAAUAAAGAAAACGGUUGCAACAAAAUAAAUGAAAAUAAGAAUUUAGAAUUAAAUGAACUGAAUAAAAGUGAUGAUAUACAUUUUUUUGUUUCUAAUAUGCUUCUAAAUAGAGUAGUAGAAAAAGAAAAAAAAAAAAGAAAAUAUUAUUAUAUAGGUGAAACUGUUAAUAAUAUAAGACAUGGUUGGGGUAUGCUCAUACAUAGUGACAGAGUGAUAUUUGAAGGAGAAUAUAAAAUGAACAAUGCAAUUGGAUAUUUUAUUAAAUAUAAUGAAUAUUCAACUGAAAUAGGAUAUAGAAGUCCUUUAAGUAUUAGAUCUGUUAUAAUCAUGAGUGACAGUGAUAAUUUUAUUACUCAGAAUAAGCAUGAGACGGUUGACAAUGUAAAAGUAAAUCAUGAUGUGUGUAUUGACUUAAGUAGUGGUAAUUUAACAACUCACGAUAUAUGUUGUGGUUCUACUACUUUGCAUAAUGAAGCUUUUAAUGAGGAACCAUAUAAUAGGUGUUUAUUGAAGUCGACUGAGUUUGCUAAUGUUGUUGAUGUUGUUUCUGCCGGUGUUACUACUACUACUACUACUACUACAAGUACCACUAACAGAAGUAACAUAUCAUCUGAUUUAGGGGUCAAACAAGUGAACUCAGUUUAUACUGACGCCGCAUCUAUUAAGAGUAUUGCUACAACAUUUGGUACUACUACACCGCUUAGCACCAUUACAAAUUCAAAUUUGGAAAACAGUGUACGGAAGCAUCUUGAUUUUUGUUCAAAAGAGAAAGAAGACGAAUUAAAGAUAAACGAAAAUAAAAAUAAUGAUGGUUCAAGAAACGAAAAUAAAAAUAAUGAUGGUUCAAACUAUGUAAGACGAAAAAGUAAACAUAAAACCACUCCGGCACGUUCCAUGAAUUAUUUAAAGCCACCAGUAAAAAAU
rnacentral:lncRNA from 1 species